rnacentral:tRNA from 1 species
GCGGCUGUAGUCCAGUCUGGUCUAGGACACUGGCCUCCCAAGCCAGUAACCCGGGUUCAAAGUAAAACAUAGAAUGUUUCUAUUUUUUGGGAAUCCCGGCAGCCGCACCA